AUGUGGACCACAGCAUGCAGUUCAUCUUGGCCGUUAAUCACGGCUCUGAUCACACGGUCUUGCUUCAUCCACCAGACUUAUGUUCUGAUCUCCUUUGAAAUCAAGGACACAGUAGUACGAGCCUAUAGAACAGAUCCUGUUCAAGUAAGGUCGUGCUAUUUCAUGCUUAGAUUCAACUCAGAACUCAGUUCUGCCUUGGUUAAAUUAACUGAUGGUGCAUAUCUAAACAAUGAUGAUUUGUACACUGAUUUGCGUUCACUUUGA